CGCACUAAUGCUCCGGGAGGGGAGGGGAAGAGAGCGGACAGGCAGCCGUGGCCAGAUGGAGCUCUGUUUGUUUUGAAGCAGCUAACUGCUGCUGAGAGCAGGACACACUGUCGACUGGUGUGUAUCAACCAGAGGAGAACAAGACAUCAUCACACCCAGUCGGGGCUGCGACCCGUCAACGAGCUGCUGCUGCUGCUGUGUGUGUUUGUGAUGUAGUCGUGUGUUUCGGCGUGGAGGCUGCAGCUUCAAGGUCGACGACCUUUCAGGGAACGUCAUGGAUCUCUCGUUGUAGCACGUAAAGGUGUCGGUAAAACUUGUGUUAUGGAAGGCCGGACCAGCAAGAAGACGAUGUGAUGGAAGCGGUUGUCCCAGCCUGAUUCUGUGACGGAAGCGGAGGGAAUGGGCCCAGCCUCGCUGCAGGAGGAGAGGGACCUGGCCAAAGAGUCUGCGGAGAUGGAGUGCUACCGCUGCCUCCUGCAGGCCGGCUCCCAGCUGGAGAGCACCCUGCAGCAGGUGACUGUCCCUUUGAGCCUGAAGGAAGUGGGAGGAUAUAUAGAGAAACAAGUUGCAUAUCUGUCAGGAGGGCGCGGGGAAGACUCAAGCGUCAUCAUCACCCUCCCAGAAUGCUCAGCGUUCAGUGACAUUCCAGAGGAAGCUUUAGCCAAAGUCUUUACCUACCUCACCCUCAUCCCUCGAACAAGACAACCAGGAGUUAAAUUUAUCAUCAUCUUAGACCGAAGACUGGAUACAUGGGCCUCUAUCAAAACCGCUCUGGCCAGGAUAGCAGCCUCCUUUCCUGGGAACCUCCACCUGGUCUUGGUGCUCCGACCCACCAGCUUCUUCCACCGUACUGUAACAGAUAUUGGUUUCCGCUUCAGCCAGGAUGACUUCAUGCUCAAGAUGCCAGUGGUGAUGCUGAGUUCUGUCACAGACCUGCUGCGCUACAUUGAUGAAAACCAGCUGACAUCAGAGUUUGGAGGCACUUUGGACUACUGUCACAGUGACUGGAUUGUUUUACGGACGGCCAUUGAAAGUUUUGCCGUGACGGUGAAAGACAUCGCUCAGAUGCUGCAGGGCUUUGGCACCGAGCUGGCAGAGGCAGAGCUGCCGGACGAGGGGAAAGCCAUCGAGCAGCUCCUGGAGACACACACAGAAAAGUACAAAAAGCUCAAGGACGCAAUAAGGUCAGUUUCAAAGGAGGGUCGCCAUCUUCUGUCCAACUUGGAAACAACUGGGAACGAUGAUGAUUCCCAGUGGGAUGUGAAGCUGGACUGGGAGACAGUACAGAGUUCCUCUUUUAGGCUUCUUGCACAGCUCAGAGACAUGGAGUCGGCCUUUGACGGCUUCUUUGAGAAGCAUCAUCUGAAACUACAUCAGUACCUUCAGCUGCUCAGAUACGAGCAAAGCUUUCAGGAGAUGGAAAUGUGUCUUGAACAUCUCAUGCAUCAGGAGAGAGAAUUGUCCGUAAAUGUGAACACUCUGGCUCAAACAGAGCAGCUUCUGAAAAGACUCGACGACAUGGAAACUAAUGCACAGGAAGUGAUGUCUCGAGCCCAGAUCAUCAUCCUCCACGGACACCAGCUGUCAGCGGGUCACCACUACGCCAUGGGGCUCAUCAUGCAGCGCUGCAAUGAGCUCCGCCACCACUGUGACACACUCUCUGCUGCGCUGAAGUCCAAGCACUCUUUUCUGUUGCAAACACACCAACUGCUGCUUUGUCUUGGGCAGGCCCAGACUUGGUGUGACGAUGGGGCGUAUUUGUUAGCAAACCAACUAGUAGACAAGUCCCAGUCCAAGGAGGGCGCCCAGAUGUCUCUGAGGGAAAUUGAGAAGUUCCUGGAGGGGGCGCCGUCUAUGCUGAGCUCAGGUCAUGAUAUUCUGGCUAUUGAAUACGAGGCUGUCAUCACGCCUCAGCUACAGACUCAGAUUGGGAAUGUUUUUGAAAAGCAUGCAGCGGUACAGCAGAUGAUCCAGAACCGACAAGCUUCUUUGAGGAAGCUGGCUGACAGACAUGUGCGGCCGAUCCAGCUGGUGGCCCCCAGACCCGAGAACCAACCUCGCGCCAAGUCACCGCUCUUCUCCCCUAAACACGGUGAUGGCUUGAAGUUCACGUUUGACAUUUCACUUCCUGGCAAGAAAUCAUCCCGGAAAAGUCCAAAUCCCAGAAAAAUCGAGGUGAUUCAUGACUACCAGGAGAGUCGGAGCUGCGUCUCGUACAGUCUGGAUGGAGACGACAGCCCGGAUUUCUUAAAGCGACAUGUAAUGAGGGAACUGAUAGAGACUGAGAGGAUCUAUGUGGAGGAGCUGCUGUCAGUGCUGCUGGGUUACAGAGCUGAAAUGGAUAACCCAGCUCUGUCGGGGCUUCUGCCGCCAACACUACGCAGCAAGAAAGACAUUCUCUUUGGAAACAUGCCUGAGAUCUACAACUUUCACAGCAGAGUUUUCUUACAAGACCUUGAAGGAUGUCUGGAGGCUCCUGAAACUGUCGGAGCUUGUUUUCUCCAGCGGAAGGAAAGCUUCCAGAUGUAUGAGAUGUACUGUCAGAAUAAGCCACGUUCUGAAGCGCUUUGGAGACAAUUCUCAGACUGUGCCUUUUUUCAGGAGUGUCAGAAGAAGCUGGAGCACAAACUGGGCCUGGAUUCCUACCUGCUCAAACCGGUUCAGCGCCUCACAAAAUACCAGCUGCUGCUCAAGGAGCUGCUGAAGUACAGCCCGGAUUGUGAAGGCACUUCUGAACUGCAGGGGGCGCUGACAGCCAUGCUGGAUCUGCUCAAGUCAGUCAACGACUCCAUGCAUCAGAUUGCCAUUACAGGAUACGAGGGGGAGAUCUGCGAGCUGGGCCGUGUGCUGAUGCAGGGCUCUUUCAGCGUGUGGAUCAGCCACAAGAGAGGCCCCACACGCAUGAAGGAGUUGGCUCGCUUCAAGCCAAUGCAGAGACACUUCUUCCUGUAUGAGAGGGCUCUGCUUUUGUGUAAACGCAGAGAGGAUCACGGAGACGGCAGCGACAAGACGCCUUCCUACAGCUUCAAGCACUGUCUGAAGAUGACUGCUGUGGGGAUCACAGAGAAUGUCAAAGGCGACGUGAAGAAGUUUGAGAUCUGGUACAGCGGCAGGGAGGAGGUUUAUGUGGUCCAGGCUCCCACAGUGGAGGUAAAGAUGGCCUGGCUCAAUGAACUCCGUCGAAUUUUGACCAACCAACAGAAGCUGCUUAGAGACGAAGCGUAUCAACACGGCCCAGUGGCCGAACACAUGCAGCUCUCUCCUUCGCUCACUGAGAGCAAACAGCAGAGGGCGUCAGUGAGCUCAGAGGACACUGAGUCGGGGAGGAGCAGCCCAGAGGCCCAGUCUCACUCCCCUAAACACCAGCCGAACCGUCGGACAGUUCAGGUGUACUUUGACCUGAAGAACCAGGUACAUCGAGGACUUUGUGGGAAAAAGCUACUGAGAUUAGCUUUUGAUUCUACAUUCGUUUUAAUGUCCCAGUUGGCCCGGAGCUCAUCACUCGGUAGACAUAUGCGAGGGUCUGGAGGAGUGGCCUGGAGAUCAGGACGCCUUCCUCCCACCUGAGACGGAGGAGAAAAAAAUGGUCAAACUGACUCCAGGCAAGUACAGAGCUGUGGCUGACUGUCCCCAAAACGGACCAGGCAGCAUCAUCAUCAAACGCGGAGAUGUCAUCCAUCUACAAUGUGAAGACAACAGGGGGCGCUGGCUUGUGAAAAAUCUGAGUCGGCAGCAGGAGGGCUUCAUAGCAGCUGCCAGCCUGCAGCUCAUUAUAGGAAGCAGCAGCCACGAGCGCUCUCCCAGACUGGGAGACCGCGGGAACCUAAAGGUGAGAAAGCUGAGCUCCCCAUAGAGAACACAGAACAGAGGAUGAAUCUCAUGCUGGAUGAUGAGCAGAGGUGGAGCAGACUGAGUCAUCGCUGUCUCACAGCUGAGGCUGCCAAUAUCUCCUCUCCUCUUAGAGGCUGCUUCCUUCAGCACACUUCACUUCUUUAAAAGAAGAGGCAGAAUCAAGUGAGCCGAUUUCCUCCCUCGGUUUUUAUUUUCGACCUCCUGAACAGACGUUUUCUGCUCAUAAGGAUCAGAGUAGAUAUCACCUCAAAGCCACAGGAGAAGUUAAAGCCCUACUGGACAAUCAACGGUUGACCUGGCUCACGUUCUUCCCACUUUUUGAUGGGUGAUGAUAACUCUUGUUGUUCCGGCGCUUCCUCUGCAACAUAUGCAGUCAGCAUGUGAGUUUGCCACUGCAGCAGUGUCUCAUGUGACAAACUGUGGACUCAGUGUUUCCCAGUAAAUACUUGAGGUUGGCUCUAGGAGCUUGUCUUUCUGCUUUGUUUCAAAAGGAUGAAAGCCAGGAUUUAAUCCUUAAACUGUUUUACAAAUUGCAUCCUUUUUUAAAAAAACUUUUAAUGAAUUUCAUGUUCAUGUCUGUGUAAAAUAUUAUUUUUUCCUCAUGUCGCCACUCUUCUGUACAGUUAAGAGUUUAAAUGCCAAAACGUGCCAUGCCUUAUUGCCUUUUUAUUCCUGCUCUUUUAAAGUCUUUCUAUGUACUUUUUCUUGGUUCUAUCUGACCUCACAAGACAUCAUCAGGCACUUUAAAAAGGUGGCUUUGUUAUGUUUCAAGGCCAUUUAUCAUCAUUGCUGCAUUUAGGCUUGUAGCUCAUGAUAGAUAUUAUUCUCUCAAAUUGAGAACUAUGAAAGUAAAGCAAAAACGAAAUAAGAAUGCAGUUAAAAGUUGCUGAAGAUGGAUGAUGCUAUGGUUUAAUGCCAAAGGCAGGUGCCACUGCAUGACCCAGUGACCACCCAAAGGGAAAGUGGAGAGAGUAAUGUGAGUUCAUGAAGUCAAGAUCUGUUUGCCGAUUUGUAAAGUUACGAGGAGGAAAUAGAAUGACAUGUUGUCUGGGAGUUUGUAACUUGGAGACUUAGCAAACCUUAGCAAAACGUAUCGAAGUAGAAAUGCUUCCAGAUAUUUUAAACUGCUUUUUGGUUUUCAUAAAAGUGUGUUUUAAAUGUACUUAUCCCAUUUGAAAACCAAUGUAAAAGCUCACUGUGAUUUAUUUUUUUAUUCUUUCAACAUUUUUAGGUAUUCCAGCCAUAAACUUUGUUGAUCUUUGGCCUUUAACUCCAAAUCCACCUGCUCUCUACUGAAUGUGCUCUUUGCUUGCUGCUUUACCUCUUUCACUGUGUUUCCGUUAUUCUUGCUGUGUUUCUUUGUUUACCCCUAAGUGUCUGAGGGAUUGGGAAUGCAGGGGAUACAUUACCCCCCUGCAUGGACGCCAGCAGUUGGCACUUGAAGGAGGAUAUUGUAAGACACUGAUUAACACGAUAGAGACCAGAGGUAACGUGUUCCUUGGAUUUACUGAAGAUUUCCUGAGAGGUGACUGUCAUUCACAGCACAGACGAGAAGGAUGGAGAGAAAACGAUGCUGCGCUCAAUCAACAGAAGAAAAAUGAAUCCUCUCUCAGCAUUAUAGCUCAGUAACUCUUUCCUUCCCCGUUAAAAGGGAUCCCUUAGAACCAACAUGAAAUUUAUAUGCUUUGUGUUGAACACUUAAUUAAAUAUUGAUUACAGACUUAUACGAUUUAUCACAUCAAAUUGAGUGGCUGCGAUAGGCUGUUGUUGAAAUGGGAACGGGUCCAGAAAGUGGCAGUGACUGCUGCACACCUCGCACCUCCUCAAGAGGUAAUUUCUUUAUUUUCCUGUCAUAUUGUGAAGUAUCUGUUCAUUCCUAAGGAAAUCACACCUCCAUAUGUUUAAAGAAGCUAUGCAUAACUAUUUAGACAUUUAGUUAAAGUGAUGGGACAAUAUCAAGAUGGUUUUCCUUUUUUUUUCAUCCAAAAUGCUGCACAAUUUGCACAGAUGUCGCUACAGAAGGCAAAAAAGUUGCUUGAAUCCUGCUGAGCCAUGUAACAUACGCUUGUUGCUGAACAUUUUGUUUUUAUACUGAAAAUGCAUGGCAGUUGGACAUUUUAUUUAAUUUUGUUUUUUAAAAUGUCUUUGGUUCUUUUAAAAGUAAUCUAAUAAUAUUAACAUAUACACUGCAAUAACAGUUUUUAGGGUAGCCGAAUUUCAUUGUUAACACAGUGGAUGUAAACUAACAUGUCUGUCUUCUUGUUCAGAAAAACAUGUAAAUAAAUCUAUCCUGGAUAUUU